CUUAUUUUGAGAAAAUUAACAAAAUCUAUUUUUAUGAAUAAUUUGACUAAGAUCUUUUUAUUUCUGACAACAAAAUUGUAGAAACAUAAUUAUUAAUCGAAAAUUGAGUUAACAGCAUGAAUUUGGAAACAAUAAUUAGCAAAAAAACACAAAUGGAUUAAGUAUCUGGAGAAAAAUGAAAAUGACGGCAAAGAAUGAAAAUCAAAUCCAGUGUUGCAGCUUGUUGCAUUGAAACCGAUUUGACUGAAUCACCUCUAUGGGCAUACGACGCAAUCAGCUGUGUGGGAAGAAACAAGUUUGGACUGACAGCCGAGUCAACAUACUGAGAAGUUUAAAAGGAAAAUUGUUUCUGAGCUAUUCAUAGUUUCAUAAAGUACAAAAAGUUUCAACAUUUCUCCUUUCCAUUCCAUCAAUCAAGUACCAAUUACUUUAUGGAUACAGGUUUUUCUAAGGAAAAUACUGGACAGUGUGCUGGUGGUGGGAGACUGCCUGGCAUCGCCACGAAGGGUUCACAAGAGCCAAACGCACGCGGUCGUCGUCGUCCUGACGUAGGGUUUCGUAGGCGAUGCUGGAAUUCUCAUAAGGACGGUUGGAUGUCGGUCCGUCGAUUACCACUUCUAGCUGCUACAAUAUUUUUUUAUCGAAUGUUGAAAUUAUGCAUGGAUAUU